CAGACGUGGAACCGAAGCACGGCGCCCAGCAGCCCAGGCAGUCUUCAGUCAGUGCCCAUGUUAACCUAUCUGACUGUCCACACAGGCCGCUGAGCAGAGCGGAGCGUCCAAGGAGUAGAGGCAGCGCUUCAGUUCGGUGUCUGGUCUAUUUUUCACGGGAGCAGCAAGUGCUUCUGUCAAGCUGGAUGUAGUGGAUUCUACCAAACAGGAAGUCGGACACAGAAUAGAGGAGAGAAUCCGGCCAGUUUUCAAAAUAAAAUAACAGCACGCACUGUGGAACGCUCAUGACGAAUGGAGUUAUGUCAAAUUACAACAUGCAUGGAGGAGGACAACGGGAUAAACUUCCCUUUAAGGCCACAAAGCUGUGUCAUGUGAUCAAGUCUGCUGUGAAGAGAUGGAACAUGAAAGCCACAGACGCAGACACUGAAUCAGCUAUGCAAUCCCACCUGAAACAUGCCCCAGCACAAACUGGGGGCAAGGGACAGACCCCCUCAGGACCUCGCAGUGGUUAUCCAGGACCUUUGAUAUUGUUAUCCAGGACCUUGAAAUUGUUCUCAAGGAACUGUAAUUGUUC